GGUUCUCGUUAGAUCACCGAAGUUAAGCAUCAUUGGGCGCGGUCAGUACUUGGGUGGGUGACCACCUGGGAACACUGCGUGCCGUU